AAAUUGAAGAGUUUGAUCAUGGCUCAGAUUGAACGCUGGCGGCAGGCCUAACACAUGCAAGUCGAACGGUAACAGAAAGCAGCUUGCUGCUUUGCUGACGAGUGGCGGACGGGUGAGUAAUGUCUGGGAAACUGCCUGAUGGAGGGGGAUAACUACUGGAAACGGUAGCUAAUACCGCAUAACGUCGCAAGACCAAAGAGGGGGACCUUAGGGCCUCUUGCCAUCGGAUGUGCCCAGAUGGGAUUAGCUAGUAGGUGGGGUAAAGGCUCACCUAGGCGACGAUCCCUAGCUGGUCUGAGAGGAUGACCAGCCACACUGGAACUGAGACACGGUCCAGACUCCUACGGGAGGCAGCAGUGGGGAAUAUUGCACAAUGGGCGCAAGCCUGAUGCAGCCAUGCCGCGUGUAUGAAGAAGGCCUUCGGGUUGUAAAGUACUUUCAGCGGGGAGGAAGGGAGUAAAGUUAAUACCUUUGCUCAUUGACGUUACCCGCAGAAGAAGCACCGGCUAACUCCGUGCCAGCAGCCGCGGUAAUACGGAGGGUGCAAGCGUUAAUCG
rnacentral:rRNA from 1 species